rnacentral:rRNA from 1 species
AGAGUUUGAUCCUGGCUCAGAUUGAACGCUGGCGGCAUGCCUUACACAUGCAAGUCGAACGGUAACGGGCCUUCGGGUGCCGACGAGUGGCGAACGGGUGAGUAAUGUAUCGGAACGUACCUUUCAGUGGGGGAUAACGUAGCGAAAGUUACGCUAAUACCGCAUAUUCUGUGAGCAGGAAAGCAGGGGAUCGCAAGACCUUGCGCUGAUUGAGCGGCCGAUAUCAGAUUAGCUAGUUGGUGAGGUAAAGGCUCACCAAGGCGACGAUCUGUAGCGGGUCUGAGAGGAUGAUCCGCCACACUGGAACUGAGACACGGUCCAGACUCCUACGGGAGGCAGCAGGUGGGGUAAUUUUGGACAAUGGGGGCAACCCUGAUCCAGCCAUGCCGCGUGAGUGAAGAAGGCCUUCGGGUUGUAAAGCUCUUUCGGCCGGGAAGAAAUCGUAUGGGUUAAUACCCUGUGCGGAUGACGGUACCGGCAUAAGAAGCACCGGCUAACUACGUG